rnacentral:rRNA from 1 species
GGAAGCGAUCAUACCAGCACUAAAGCACCGGAUCCCAUCAGAACUCCGAAGUUAAGCGUGCUUGGGUGAGAGUAGUACUAGGAUGGGUGACCUCCUGGGAAGUCCUUGUGUUGAAUUCC